CCUGAUUUCCGUGCCCAACGUUUGACCAUCCAUCUUAUUUGAAAAAAUUAUAAAAAAAAGUAAAAAGACAAGUUACGCAUAAAAUAUUAAUCAUGUUUUAUCAUCUAACAACAAUAAAAAUACGAAUUACAAAAAAAUUUCAUAUAAGACGGACAGUCAAAGUUGGACACGGAAAUCCAGGGUUUGCCUUUUU
rnacentral:pre_miRNA from 1 species